rnacentral:rRNA from 1 species
GACAGAGGGUGCAAACGUUGUUCGGAAUUACUGGGCGUAAAGCGCGUGUAGGCGGCUCGGCAAGUCGGAUGUGAAAGCCCUGGGCUCAACCCAGGAAGUGCACUCGAAACUGCCGAGCUGGAGUCCCGGAGAGGAAGGCGGAAUUCUCGGUGUAGAGGUGAAACUCGUAGAUAUCGAGAGGAACACCGGUGGCGAAGGCGGCCUUCUGGACGGCGACUGACGCUGAGACGCGAAAGCGUGGGGAGCAAACAGG